rnacentral:tRNA from 1 species
UCUCUGUUAGUAUAUCGGUUAGUACACGCGCCUGUCACUUCAGCUGGCCGCGCGAAAGCGGGGUUCGACUCCCCGACAGAGAG